rnacentral:lncRNA from 1 species
AAUACUAUUAUUCAUAGAAGAAAUAGUGUUUUCUGUUUGUAAAGCAGUAAAUCAUAAGCAAAUUGUAUCUGAGCUUGUUUUAGAGCAAUAGGUAUAUUUUUUAGUUUAUUGCAGGAUAUUGGUAAAAAAAUUACAAAAAAAAAAAAAAAUCAGUUACAAAUAAAUUAAGAAGUAAUCCAAAAAGUAAUUUAUUAAAAGAUCAUUUGUAUGAAAAUUAAUUUAAAAUUACUCAAAUAAUAAAAUGUCUAGUUAAAUAGCCCACUUCAUAAAUAUGAAAAGCAGUUUUCUUCAGUAUGAGGUAAAAAUUGAAGUAGUCCUAUAAAGUUUAUUCACUGUAAUCAUAAAAUGGUGCAUAGUGACUGACAGAUGAAGCAUGAUGCCAGAAACGGAUUAAAAAUGAUAACAUAGAGAUUGGGAGGAGGAAGCAAACAAUGUGAAAGGUGCUGAUAAUAGACUUGAUGCAUUGUACAGGGUGUGAGUUAUAAUAUUAUAUGCAAUUCUUCUGUAAACAUCUGUAUAUUUAGUAGAUUAGUGGGUAAUAAUUAGUAUUUUAUCAACCAUAAAACCAUUAAGAGUCUUGUGAAUUUGUAUUAUCUUGAAACUGUAAAUGUAGCAUACUUUAAAAAUCUCGUACAAUAUGUAUAUGUGUGUGUGAUAUUUUAAAAUGUGUCCAUUUAUUCAGAAUUGCCAAAGUAUUGAUUAUUACCUAUUAACCUACUAUUUUAGUUGACUUCUGAAUAUUUUUACAAGAGAAUUGUGUACAAAAUUAUAACUCAAGCUUGUGAAAUGGAACAGCGUGGUAAGUUCAUCACCUGCAUCUUAUAUGUUGUCUUCACCCUUUUUCUCUGUUAUCAUCUCCAGUCUGCCAGUCUUAGCUCAUUGUUUUGUGCUUAUAGUGGAUAUUCCCAUGAAGAACUUUUUAAUGUCAAUAGACCUUAAAAAAAUCUGUCAAAGUUGUCCUAACUUUAGAAUCCGUAGUUUUUUUUUUUUUUUUUUUUUUUUUAAACAGUUUUUGGUUUUUAAAAGCACUUAAUUUUGUCCAAAACUUGUCAAUGGUUCUUAAUUUAUCCACUGGGUGGCUGAUCAAUGGAGGACUGUUGUCUUUAUGGAUGAAUCCAGGUUUAGCAUCCAAAGUGAUAAUAGGUGUUACUUGAUUUGGAGAUAACCUGUAUCCCAUUAUCAUCCAUCAAACAUCCAUGAAAGAGAUGCAUACAGAGGAGGCAGUGUCUGUGUUUGGGGUGAUAUCUCUUUGGGUGGAUGCACAGGCCUCCGUGUCUUUCCAUGUGAAACCAUGAAUGCUUAGACCUAUAGAGAUGACAUUCUUGAUGCUUAACAGGUGAUAAUUUCCUGCUACAGAACAACAAUGCUAGACCACUCAGAGCUUGCACUGUGGUUGAUUAUUUUAUCAAGCAUGUUUGGAAUGCUUUAGGAAGACAUGUAGCUUCUCUGAAUCCUUCUCUUCAGAUCCUUGCCACACUUGUAACUGCUUUACUAGAGCAAUAGUUCUCACAUCCUAUGGAACUGAUAGACUACGUAAUUGACAACAUAACAUAUCACAUUGCUUCUAAGGGAGUUCAUACUCCAAAUUGAAGAGGAUUUUUCUUGUGCUAAACUAAUACACCCAAUUUGCUCCAUUUUAUACACAUGCUAAUUUUUAUAGUACCAUAAUUAUCUGGUAUAAUGGUUGCAAUCUGCACUCCCAUCCUGAUUACAUUUUUAUCUUUUCUGCAUCUUAUGAUAAUACAAUGGAUGAAAGAGAGAGGUGCAUGACUACAUGUUCACAGAACAGAAAGCAAGAAUAGGAAUAUGACAUGUCCAAAAUGAAAGUUGAGUUUCACUUCGCAGUGUUCCCAUCGAUUAAUAAAAGGUUUUGGUACUGCUGUUUAAUGUCUUGAUUUCCAUAUUUGAAAUCAUAGUCAUUAUUACUAGAUAAAGCCUUUAUUUAAAAGCCUGCAUCAUUAGUGUUAGGUAAGAAUUAUAUGCUGGAUUAAUUUGGGAAGAAUGAGGUUUAGAGAGAUUUAUUUUAAGCAGCUUCUAUUUUUAGGAUAGGAGGAAAAAAAAUAGCCAAAUUAAAAUUGAGAGUUAAGGGACUAUAUCAAAUCAAAAUUAGAAUUUUUCUGGGCAUUUUUUUUUUUUUUUUUAUCUACAUACACAUAUAAGAAAGUUAUAAAUUGAUUCAAAGACCAUAAGUUGACAGUUAAAGUGCUGUAAAUCUAUUUUUUUCUGAUCAGUUGAGAUUUCUGUUGCUAAAAAUAUCAUUAUCUGCAACACUACUUAAUCACCCUCUGUAUUGUUUCACUUUUAAACAUGUACCAAAUAAUCAGCCACAUUUUCUUUUUGCCCUUAAGUAAUUAUGCAUCUAUCUAUUUUAUCUCUGUACACAGUAAAUGAAGCCUGAAGAUUAUGUUAGUGUGGAGUGGAAUGUUCCAUAUACCGGUUUUCUUUUGUUGGCGUUCGUGAAAGAAGAAACAAAGAAUUCGGAUUUAUUUAAAAAACUCAACUAUCAUUGCAAGUUGCUUUCUUUCUUAACUUUCUAAUUUGAUCUAGCUCACUUUUUUGUUCGGUUUUUUAAUAUUACUGCUGUUGUAUUAAAAUUAAAGAUUUAGUAAAAGAUAAUUUAUUCAUUUUACUCUUUCCUGAAAACUGUGAACUGAACCAGUGGAUAUGAGGAUUUUGCGAACACUGAAAUGCUGUUUUAUAUUCAUUGCAACAACAGUAUCAUUCAAGAAUUCUUGAAAUAUUUUAAUACAAAAGCUGCUGUGUGGAGUAUUGCAUGGUCAUAAAAGAUAUCACUAGUAAAAAGUGAAAUCUUCUGAUUUUUGGAAUAUGUAAAGAGAUGCUAAAUGAAGCUGAUGUAACUGAAGUCUUCCAUUAUGAAGUUAAGAUUCUAAAUAUGAAAUUACAGACUAAAAAAAUUGAUUGUAUAAUUUUUUAAAUCUAGAAAAUAUCGCCCCUUCAGAUUAAAGUCACAUUUUAAUUUCACAA